GGACUCAUAGCUCAGCUGGUUAGAGCGCUACGUUGACAUCGUAGAGGUCGGCGGUUCGACUCCGUCUGAGUCCACCA
rnacentral:tRNA from 1 species